rnacentral:rRNA from 1 species
UACGUAGGGUGCAAGCGUUAUCCGGAAUUAUUGGGCGUAAAGAGCUCGUAGGCGGUUUGUCGCGUCUGCUGUGAAAACCCGAGGCUCAACCUCGGGCCUGCAGUGGGUACGGGCAGACUAGAGUGCGGUAGGGGAGAAUGGAAUUCCUGGUGUAGCGGUGAAAUGCGCAGAUAUCAGGAGGAACACCGGUGGCGAAGGCGGUUCUCUGGGCCUUACCUGACACUGAGGAGCGAAAGCGUGGGGAGCGAACAGG